rnacentral:rRNA from 1 species
UGGUGGAGUGAUUUGUCUGGUUGAUUCCGUUAACGAACGAGACCUCAGCCUGCUAAAUAGUUACGCUAACAUUCUUGUUGGUGGCCAACUUCUUAGAGGGACUAUCGGCGAUUAGCCGAUGGAAGUAUGAGGCAAUAACA